rfam:Haemonchus placei strain MHpl1 genome assembly, scaffold: HPLM_scaffold0005078
GGCCCAAAUUUGAAGUGAAGUAGGUGAGUAGGAUUGUCCGACCCUACUGAAGUAUUUUACUUCAAGUUUGUGCCC